GCUUCGGAGCCAUCAGCCAUGGUACCGAGGUAACCUAGCUUCAUGGGACCACCCGCGGCGGCUGAUUUGGUCCCUUGCAGCCGAGCACAAGCGACACACGAGCAGAUCGGCGUCCUCGCCGGCAAGCUCGAGCACCACGCAGUGCAUUAGGCAACACAACAUCGAUCUCAAAGUGCGGGCCACCCAAUCGAUUGCCUUGCUUCCGAGUUGGAGCUUGGGCUCUUGGAACUAGUAGCAGUUCUGAUUUGCAGGGUCAAUGCCAGCAUUGGUGAAGUUGACACUGAAGAAGAAUGAGAAGAUGAAGAAGAUUUGUAAUUUUCAGUGACUUGUAUCUGUAUUUGUAGAAAGGAAUUUUCAGUGAUUUGUAAUUAUCUGUAUCUGUAAUGAGAAGAUGAAGAAGAUUUGUAAUUUUGUACUACUAAUUUAGUAGUACAAAAUUAGUGACAGGUAGAAGAGACUAAUGUGAUCCAAAAUUAGUGACA